rnacentral:tRNA from 1 species
GGUGGCUCAGUGGUAGAGCGCUUGCCUUGCAAGCCUCCUGAGACCCUGGGUUCGAUUCCCAAGCACCA